UACGGAGGGUGCAAGCGUUAUCCGGAUUCACUGGGUUUAAAGGGUGCGUAGGAGGGUAGGUAAGUCAGUGGUGAAUCUUCGAGCUUAACUCGGAACUGCCGUUGAUACUAUCUAUCUUGAAUACCGUGGAGGUGAGCGGAAUAUGUCAUGUAGCGGUGAAAUGCUUAGAUAUGACAUAGAACACCAACUUGGCGAAGGCAGCUCGCUACACGAAUAUUGACUCUGAGGCACGAAAGCGUGGGGAUCAAACAGG
rnacentral:rRNA from 1 species